rnacentral:rRNA from 1 species
GCUAUACAUGCAGUCGAGCGAACAGAUAAGGAGCUUGCUCCUUUGACGUUAGCGGCGGACGGGUGAGUAACACGUGGAUAACCUACCUAUAAGACUGGGAUAACUUCGGGAAACCGGAGCUAAUACCGGAUAACAUAUUGAACCGCAUGGUUCAAUAGUGAAAGGCGGCUUUGCUGUCACUUAUAGAUGGAUCCGCGCCGUAUUAGCUAGUUGGUAAGGUAACGGCUUACCAAGGCAACGAUACGUAGCCGACCUGAGAGGGUGAUCGGCCACACUGGAACUGAGACACGGUCCAGACUCCUACGGGAGGCAGCAGUAGGGAAUCUUCCGCAAUGGGCGAAAGCCUGACGGAGCAACGCCGCGUGAGUGAUGAAGGUCUUCGGAUCGUAAAACUCUGUUAUCAGGGAAGAACAAAUGUGUAAGUAACUGUGCACAUCUUGACGGUACCUGAUCAGAAAGCCACGGCUAACUACGUGCCAGCAGCCGCGGUAAUACGUAGGUGGCAAGCGUUAUCCGGAAUUAUUGGGCGUAAAGCGCGCGUAGGCGGUUUUUUAAGUCUGAUGUGAAAGCCCACGGCUCAACCGUGGAGGGUCAUUGGAAACUGGAAAACUUGAGUGCAGAAGAGGAAAGUGGAAUUCCAUGUGUAGCGGUGAAAUGCGCAGAGAUAUGGAGGAACACCAGUGGCGAAGGCGACUUUCUGGUCUGUAACUGACGCUGAUGUGCGAAAGCGUGGGGAUCAAACAGGAUUAGAUACCCUGGUAGUCCACGCCGUAAACGAUGAGUGCUAAGUGUUAGGGGGUUUCCGCCCCUUAGUGCUGCAGCUAACGCAUUAAGCACUCCGCCUGGGGAGUACGACCGCAAGGUGAAUAA